rnacentral:rRNA from 1 species
AGUGAACGCUGGCGGCGUGCUUAACACAUGCAAGUCGAACGAGAACGGGCUAUAGCUUGCUAUAGUUGUCAGCUAAGUGGCGCACGGGUGAGUAAUGUAUAGGUAAUAUGCCUCUUACUAAGGGAUAACAAAUGGAAACGUUUGCUAAUACCUUAUACUCCUUAUUAACAGAAGUUAAUAAGGGAAAGAUUUAUUGGUAAGAGAUUAGCCUGUAUUGUAUCAGUUAGUUGGUGGGGUAAUGGCUUACCAAGACUAUGACACAUAACUGGUUUGAGAGGUUGAUCAGUCACACUGGAACUGAUACACGGUCCAGACUCCUACGGGAGGCAGCAGUGGGGAAUAUUGCACAAUGGACGAAAGUCUGAUGCAGCAACGCCGCGUGGAGGAUGACACAUUUCGGUGCGUAAACUCCUUUUAUAUGAGAAGAUAAUGACGGUAUUAUAUGAAUAAGCACCGGCUAACUCCGUGCCAGCCGCCGCGGUAA